AGCGGCGGACGGGUGAGUAACGCGUGGGUAACCUGCCUCAUACAGGGGGAUAACAGUUAGAAAUGACUGCUAAUACCGCAUAAGCGCACAGGACCGCAUGGUCAAGUGUGAAAAACUCCGGUGGUAUGAGAUGGACCCGCGUCUGAUUAGUUAGUUGGUGGGGUAACGGCCCACCAAGGCGACGAUCAGUAGCCGGCCUGAGAGGGUGAACGGCCACAUUGGGACUGAGACACGGCCCAAACUCCUACGGAAGGCAGCAG
rnacentral:rRNA from 1 species